rnacentral:rRNA from 1 species
AUUGAAUGCUGGCGGCAUGGCUAAAACAUGCAAGUCGAACGAACCCGCAAGGGUGAGUGGCGAAAGGGUUAGUAAUGCGAUCGAAUGUACCCCGAGGUGGAGGAUAGCGGGACGAAAUUCUCGGUAAUACUCCAUGAUGUCUUCGAACCAAAGUUUUGGCGCCUUGGGAGCAGCGAUCGUCCUAUCAGGUAGUUGGCGGGGUAAAAGCCCACCAAGCCUUAGACGGGUAGCGGGUGUGAGAGCACGGCCCGCAACAUCGGAACUGAGACACUGUCCGGACUCCUACGGGAGGCUGCAGUAACGAAUCUUCCGCAAUGGGCGCAAGCCUGACGGAGCAAUGCCGCGUGCGGGAUGAAGGCC